rnacentral:rRNA from 1 species
UUUGGUCGCAGGCGGGGUCGAGUUCAUCUCGCUCCUCGCCUCGCCAAUGGAUAUCAAUUUACGUGCAUAUUCUUUUCGGUCCUCGCAAGGGGGCCUUUAACGGGAAUAUCCUCAGCACGUUAUCUGACUUCUUCACGCGAAAGCUUUGAGGUUACAGUCUCAGGGGGGAGUACGUUCGCAAGAGUGAAACUUAAAG